ACGUACACUCCUGCGGAGGCAGCAGUGGGGAAUAUUGGACAAUGGGCGCAAGCCUGAUCCAGCCAUGCCGCGUGAGUGAUGAAGGCCCUAGGGUUGUAAAGCUCUUUCACCGGUGAAGAUAAUGACGGUAACCGGAGAAGAAGCCCCGGCUAACUUCGUGCCAGCAGCCGCGGUAAUACGAAGGGGGCUAGCGUUGUUCGGAUUUACUGGGCGUAAAGCGCACGUAGGCGGACUAUUAAGUCAGGGGUGAAAUCCCGGGGCUCAACCCCGGAACUGCCUUUGAUACUGGUAGUCUUGAGUUCGAGAGAGGUGAGUGGAAUUCCGAGUGUAGAGGUGAAAUUCGUAGAUAUUCGGAGGAACACCAGUGGCGAAGGCGGCUCACUGGCUCGAUACUGACGCUGAGGUGCGAAAGCGUGGGGAGCAAACAGGAUUAGAAACCCCUGUAGUCCC
rnacentral:rRNA from 1 species